rnacentral:rRNA from 2 species
AGUCGAGCGAACUGAUUAGAAGCUUGCUUCUAUGACGUUAGCGGCGGACGGGUGAGUAACACGUGGGCAACCUGCCUGUAAGACUGGGAUAACUUCGGGAAACCGAAGCUAAUACCGGAUAGGAUCUUCUCCUUCAUGGGAGAUGAUUGAAAGAUGGUUUCGGCUAUCACUUACAGAUGGGCCCGCGGUGCAUUAGCUAGUUGGUGAGGUAACGGCUCACCAAGGCAACGAUGCAUAGCCGACCUGAGAGGGUGAUCGGCCACACUGGGACUGAGACACGGCCCAGACUCCUACGGGAGGCAGCAGUAGGGAAUCUUCCGCAAUGGACGAAAGUCUGACGGAGCAACGCCGCGUGAGUGAUGAAGGCUUUCGGGUCGUAAAACUCUGUUGUUAGGGAAGAACAAGUACGAGAGUAACUGCUCGUACCUUGACGGUACCUAACCAGAAAGCCACGGCUAACUACGUGCCAGCAGCCGCGGUAAUACGUAGGUGGCAAGCGUUAUCCGGAAUUAUUGGGCGUAAAGCGCGCGCAGGCGGUUUCUUAAGUCUGAUGUGAAAGCCCACGGCUCAACCGUGGAGGGUCAUUGGAAACUGGGGAACUUGAGUGCAGAAGAGAAAAGCGGAAUUCCACGUGUAGCGGUG